GGCGUUAAGGAAAGUUACGGUGGGAACUUCUUACCGUGCUAUGUGAUUGCGACGACAAGUACCGCUGGCAGCAGCGUGUCGCCGAUUUCGUCUUUGCCGACAUCGAGCAAGUGCAGCUCGCCGAACCGUGACAAGCACCCGAAGUGUUGCGGUCUGCGCUGCAUCUUCUCUUUUGAUAUGGG
rnacentral:lncRNA from 1 species